UACGUAGGGUGCGAGCGUUUAAUCGGAAUUACUGGGCGUAAAGCGUGCGCAGGCGGUGAUGUAAGACAGAUGUGAAAUCCCCGGGCUCAACCUGGGAACUGCAUUUGUGACUGCAUCGCUGGAGUGCGGCAGAGGGGGAUGGAAUUCCGCGUGUAGCAGUGAAAUGCGUAGAUAUGCGGAGGAACACCGAUGGCGAAGGCAAUCCCCUGGGCCUGCACUGACGCUCAUGCACAAAGCGUGGGGAGCAACAGG
rnacentral:rRNA from 1 species